GGAUUUUCACGUUUGCUGACGCCAGAAUGACGCCACUGGUCCCAAAUCCUCGUGGUAAUUACCACUGGCCAACCGCGAUCCUCAGCUUCAGACGACAAUUUCACCCCCCUGGUUUUUCAAAAAAGCCUGAAACUUUGCUGAAAGUUUAUAUAAAAAAAAACACAUUAAGAAUAAAUGCAGAGUUUUUGCAUGGCUUCAUGAUGCCACAAUUCUUUAUCAAGAAGAAACACUUCUUUUUACCGGUAAGAUGUAUUCAAUGCUUCAUUCGUACUAAAUAAAUACCAUUUUUUUCAAGAAAAAUUGGAUACGAAAUUUACAAAUAUAACGACGCUGUACAUCAGCUGGUAUUCUUCUGCCUUUACUCACUUUUCUUUAUGUUUUAUUUUGCCAUUUGGGUAGGUUAUAGUUUUUGUUUUCCUCUGGAGUCCUUACCCAGAGAUCCAACAUCAAUUUCACAUACAGUAUAGCAACAGAAAUGCCUCAAAAUGAUGGACAAAUGGCCUGUCAAGUCCCAACUUUUCCUAGGGUUUAAAACUUUAAAUAUAUUGUCAUAGGACUAGGAGGCCCAAUAUAUGGUUGUAAUGGGCACAAAACAGAUCAAAACUGUUCCUAAUAAGUGUUUCUGUAGAAUUAAGUGUUGAAUAAAAGCUUGCAAGGCUCACACUACAAAUUUGAGUUGUGAUUUUAAUAGACAAUUUUAAUUUUUUUCAUGGCUAAGUGGCUAACAGUAGGAGGCCCAAUACCUAGUUGUACAAGUAAAGUUUAUAGUUCAUAUAUAAAAAGGCCAGCAAAUAGACAUGAAUUCUUCUUGACGAAAAUGAAUUUAUGGAUAGUACAUAGAGAUCAUAGAAGUCAAUGGGUGAAUAAGGGAUGCCUAUUUCACAACUCUAAAUGACAUAUUUUAAUAUUUGAAAAUUGAAAGGAAAUAAUAUGUUCAAUAGCAUGUUGACCAAAUGAUAUAGAUAAUAUAGUACAUGACUGAUUGGAUGUAUUCUAUUACACUUUUCCAGAUAUGAAGAAAAAUCCUGAGAUGUGUAGAAAACUUGGAGAAGAAUGCCCUGGUUAAAUGUCAUGCCAUGCACAAAAGGGAAUGACACCUUUGUUCGAAGCAAUUAGUAUAUUCCACUUAACUCAUUGAGCACCAGCACUCUCUCCUUCACAAAUAAAAUUGUCUGCCAUUAGACAGAAUAUAAUAAUAAAGUAGGGUGUACUUCAGUGGCGUAACUACUAUGGGCUCAGACCGGGAGAACCCGGGGGCCCCAACCCCAAUGGGCCAAAAUGGGGGCCCCCAAGCUUAGGCGAUAGAGCAAAAACAUUAGCCAGGGCCUCUCUGAUAUGUUACAAUGUCGUUUUCUGACCAACAGAAUUCUGUAAAAUCUCUCCCCAAAGUCCAGGAAAUGGCAUUUCAGAGAAUCUAGAUUCAAAAAUUUUCCGGAUGAGCAUGCCCUGGACCCCCUAGAAAACCUGUGCAUAUACGGCGCUCGACUCGUGACUUUAGCACUUCUACUUGGGGGGCCUUCGAAAAUUUUGAACCGGGGGCCCCCUGAUAUAACGUUACGCCACUGGGGUGCACUGGGGCACAUUGCCACUUAUCAAAGGCUUAACAAAUACUGGUCAACCCAUGGAGUGAUAAAGCUCUCCCCAUGCAUUUACAAGUAUAUUUGUCUGGUAUUUGACAGGAAAAUUAUAUGGUGGGGUAUUAUUAUUAUAGGGCCCACAGCAACUCUCUUGUUCCCUAGCUCAGGGGGUGGGGGGGUUAGGUUACACUCACAAUUAAAUAAUUGAAACUUGUUAGCUGGU